rnacentral:rRNA from 1 species
UACGAAGGGGGCUAGCGUUGUUCGGAAUUACUGGGCGUAAAGGGCGCGUAGGCGGUGUGUCAAGUCAGGCGUGAAAGCCCCGGGCUCAACCGGGGAAGGGGCGCCGAUACGACCACCCUGGAGGGACGUAGGGGGACCUGGAACUUCCGGUGGAGCGGUGAAAUGCGUUGAGAUCGGAAGGAACGCCCGUGGCGAAAGCGAGGUCCUGGACGUUUACUGACGCUGAGACGCGAAAGCCAGGGGAGCGAACGGG